AACGCACAUGGCGCCCCCCGGCAUCCCGGGGGGCAUGCCUGUCCGAGCGUCGUUUCAACCCUCGAGCCCCCGGCUCGGUGUUGGGGACCCGCGCGCGCCGCGGCCCCCGAAAACCAGCGGCGGUCCGGCGGAAGCCCCCUUGCGUAGUAACUCACGUCUCGCAUCGGCGGCCCGCCCGCGACCCGCCCCUAAACCCCCCGCAAGCCCGCCCCCGGCGGCACGGUUGACCUCGGAUCAGGUAGGAAUACCCGCUGAACUUAA
rnacentral:misc_RNA from 1 species